rnacentral:rRNA from 1 species
AGAGUUUGAUCAUGGCUCAGGACGAACGCUGGCGGCGUGCCUACACACAUGCAAGUCGAGGGCGAAAGCCUCCUUUCGGGAGGCAAGUAGACCGGCGGACGGGUGCGUAACACGUGAGCAACCUGCCCAAGAGAGGGGGAUAACUCGGGGAAACCCGGGCUAAUACCGCAUAAUGUGACCACUUAAUAUGGAGAGGUCACCAAAAGAGGGCGUCUUUCGCGGAGCUCUCGCUCUUGGAUGGGCUCGCGGCCUAUCAGCUAGUUGGUGAGGUAACGGCUCACCAAGGCGAUGACGGGUAGCUGGUCUGAGAGGAUGGUCAGCCACACGGGGACUGAGACACGGCCCCGACUCCUACGGGAGGCAGCAGUGGGGAAUUUUGGACAAUGGGCGAAAGCCUGAUCCAGCGACGCCGCGUGCGGGAGGAAGCCCUUCGGGGUGUAAACCGUUGUCAGGAGGGAAGAACAGAUUCGGGUUAAUACCCCGGAUUGCUGACGGUACCUCCAGAGGAAGCGCCGGCUAACUCCGUGCCAGCAGCCGCGGUAAUACGGAGGGCGCAAGCGUUGUCCGGAAUUACUGGGCGUAAAGGGGGCGCAGGCGGCUUGGCAAGUCUUGUGUGAAAGGCUACGGCUCAACCGUGGACAUGCACUAGAUACUACCGAGCUUGAGACGGGUAGAGGCGAGUGGAAUUCCCGGUGUAGCGGUGGAAUGCGUAGAUAUCGGGAAGAACACCAGUGGCGAAGGCGACUCGCUGGGCCCGUUCUGACGCUCAGGCCCGAAAGCGUGGGGAGCAAACAGGAUUAGAUACCCUGGUAGUCCACGCCGUAAACGAUGGGCACUAGGUGCCGGGGAGUGUGACCUUUUCGGUGCCGUAGCUAACGCGUUAAGUGCCCCGCCUGGGGAGUACGGCCGCAAGGCUGAAACUCAAAUGAAUUGACGG